rnacentral:sRNA from 1 species
UGAAAUGUUAUAUUGAAAAAGCUAAAAAAAAUGUUUUUUUUCUAUUCCUAAGCUACCAAUUUUAAUCUCGCCUUAAGCCCCGAUAAGCCUAGGCAUGACACUGUAGUGCUUAGAUAACUUGAGAAUUAGUGCUUUGAUGCAAACCACAGCUUGUAGACCACUCGCAUAACGCCUGUCUCCCAUGAGCCGUAUUGAUGAUCAUUGGUUUCGAAUUUGCUUGUCUAGCCAUCUAACUAGCCGAGCUGAUGGGUUGAGAUCAUCCCCAUGCAUUCUUUACCAUUCCUCUCUCUCCAUAAUGCAUAGACUACAACCUGAAACACAUCUGUAGUGCGUUGAACAGUUUUUGACAAACUUGAUGUGCUUGUGGUUAUGCUACACAUGUCAUUUCUGCUCGUGAGAAUAUCAACUCACAUGAGAUGGAUUUGGAAUUAUUGCAUAAUUUGAUUACUGGACUUGUGAGUCUUAGUUUUAUUUUGCUACGCCAUAUAUGAGCAAUGAUGAAUAUCAAAUGUAAACACUUUAAGCUCAUUUAUAUUUUAUCCCACUCAAAACUUUGUUUAACCAAAAUUUGUUCAAGAUUACAACUAAUCGAAACUUUGCUGAGGUUGCGUCAUUAGUGUCUUUAUGUGUGACAAUUUCUUUUGUACUCAGUACUGAAACUUUGCUCCUUGUGUUGCGUCACGUGAUGAGUUCUUGAAUGUUCUGUUUUGGCGUAAAAGUCAUUAUUUUCUCAUCAUUCUUGAAUCUGACUAAGGAUCAAAGCUUUUGUUUUGAAUUGUCUCCUUGAGCAACCUAAUAUUGUGAAUUGUAUGUUUUGUCAGAAAAGACCAAAAACAUUCUUGUUGCAUCAUUCUUGAAUAAAGUUUGUCUAGAAACUCAUUUGCAUUGACUUUGGAACAAACUUAAUAUUCAAUGUUUGUACGAAUUGGAUUCGCAAAGGACCAGAGAAACGGGACGAUUAUGAUUAGAAAGGAAGAGUACCCGGCUUCUCUGCUUUAUCUUCCUGCAGUUGUUGAGUCUUUUAAAACUUAUGAUGAUUUUGCUUAAUCCUUCUUUUUGUCAAAACUGCUGAUAUUUUGGGCAGGUAAAAUCAAUUUGCUUGAUCCUUCUUUUUGUUUUUCUGCGUGAAUUUUGACUAAAUAGUAAAUAUGAAUGUUUUCAUUUGUUACACAGAUGAUUGUGGUUAAGGAGCAUGAUGACCUAGAGAGAAGUGAAUUAGAAGAUUCUGGUGAUUCAAUGUGAGUUUUUACUAUAAAGAGAUUUUUCUUAAGAAAGCUUUAGAGUGUGAGCAAGUUAUGUCUUAGAAAAUAAUGGAUAAAAUUAAUGUCCCACGAUUUGAUAAUGUCUUCUUCAACCUACAAUGAAAAUGUUGUUUUGUGUUCAAGUAUGACAGUGUUGGUACUAAACCUAUCAAAAGCUGGAAUUUAAAUUAAAAGCUCUGGAAUAAUAGACGAAUAAUAGAGAAAUUAGCUGAUAUUAUAUUUUAUUAAGUAAAUUAACUGAUACAUGUGAAGUAUAAGAGGAACAAUAUCAUCAGAGUCCGCUGCCGUAUGGAACUUGACUUGCUUUCAGCCACAUUUCUCCAUAUAAUAGCUUGAUAACAGUGAAUUUCGUAGCCUCUUUAGGAUCUGUAAUAACUCUGAACCCUGACCACGCUACCCUUUUGCUAGAAGUUACUAUUGUAAAAGUGUAGAGUUUGAAGAGUGAUAAGAGAGAAGUACUUGUUUUAAUGAAAAAGUCUCAAAUAUGAAUCUUACUCAUUAACAUAAUGUAGGAAAAACUUGUGUUGAUGGACUUAUCACGAACUAAAAUUGCUAGUAUGCUAAAGUGAUAUUGAGUUCUGGGACAAAUUACUUACAUUCAAAAACCAUUUUUUUUAAAUCAUAUUUGAUAUAAGGUCAUUACAAUCCUAAUGGGUAAUCCACAUAUUCCAUUAUCAAAAUAUCAUUUUUGCCAUUAGUAUAUAUGAUAUUAAUCCCAAAAAUUAGUUUAUUUGUGUAUAAAUUUUGAAACAUUACAUAAAAAUAGACGAGAACAAAUAUUUCAUUUACCUUUUGGUUCUCCAAUAAAUAAAUUCAAAUCUCAUCCAAAAUUUGAACUAAAACUUAAAAA